rnacentral:rRNA from 1 species
GACGAACGCUGGCGGCGUGCUUAACACAUGCAAGUCGAACGGAAAGGCCCCCUUGUGGGGUACUCGAGUGGCGAACGGGUGAGUAACACGUGAGUAACCUACCCUUGACUUUGGGAUAACUUCAGGAAACUGGGGCUAAUACCGGAUAGGAGCUCCUGCUGCAUGGUGGGGGUUGGAAAGUUUCGGCGGUUGGGGAUGGACUCGCGGCUUAUCAGCUUGUUGGUGGGGUAGUGGCUCACCAAGGCUUUGACGGGUAGCCGGCCUGGGAGGGUGACCGGCCACAUUGGGACUGGGAUGCGGCCCAGACUGCUACGGGAGGCAGGAGUGGAGGAUAUUGCACAAAGGGCGGAAGCCUGAAGCAGGAACGCCGCGUGCGAGAUGACGGCCUUCGGGUUGUAAACCGCUUUCGCCUGUGACGAAGCGUGAGGGACGGUAAUGGGUAAAGAGGCACCGGCUAACUACGU